rnacentral:rRNA from 1 species
UACGUAGGGUGCAAGCGUUGUCCGGAAUUAUUGGGCGUAAAGAGCUCGUAGGCGGUCUGUCGCGUCUGCUGUGAAAACUCAGGGCUUAACCCUGAGCUUGCAGUGGGUACGGGCAGACUAGAGUGCGGUAGGGGAGACUGGAAUUCCUGGUGUAGCGGUGAAAUGACGCAGAUAUCAGGAGGAACACCGGUGGGCGAAGGCGGGUCUCUUGGGCCGUAACUGACGCUGGAGGAGCGAAAGCAUGGGGAGCGAACAGG